rnacentral:rRNA from 1 species
GAUGAACGCUGGCGGCGUGCCUGAUACAUGCAAGUCGAGCGAACAGACGAGGAGCUUGCUCCUUUGACGUUAGCGGCGGACGGGUGAGUAACACGUGGAUAACCUACCUAUAAGACUGGGAUAACUUCGGGAAACCGGAGCUAAUACCGGAUAAUAUAUUGAACCGCAUGGUUCAAUAGUGAAAGACGGUUUUGCUGUCACUUAUAGAUGGAUCCGCGCCGCAUUAGCUAGUUGGUAAGGUAACGGCUUACCAAGGCAACGAUGCGUAGCCGACCUGAGAGGGUGAUCGGCCACACUGGAACUGAGACACGGUCCAGACUCCUACGGGAGGCAGCAGUAGGGAAUCUUCCGCAAUGGGCGAAAGCCUGACGGAGCAACGCCGCGUGAGUGAUGAAGGUCUUCGGAUCGUAAAACUCUGUUAUUAGGGAAGAACAAAUGUGUAAGUAACUAUGCACGUCUUGACGGUACCUAAUCAGAAAGCCACGGCUAACUACGUG